rnacentral:rRNA from 1 species
GACGAACGCUGGCGGCGUGCUUAACACAUGCAAGUCGAGCGAUGAAGCACCUUCGGGUGUGAAUUAGCGGCGAACGGGUGAGGAACACGUGAGAAAUCUGCCUUCAACACUGGGGAUAACUCCGGGAAACCGGGGCUAAUACCGGAUAUGAAACCUGCGGGCAUCCGCGGGUUUGGAAAGUUUUUCGGUUGAAGAUGAUCUCGCGGCCUAUCAGCUUGUUGGUGAGGGUAAUGGGCUCACCAAGGCGACGACGGGUAGCCGGCCUGAGAGGGCGACCGGCCACACUGGGACUGAGACACGGUCCAGACUCCUACGGGAGGCAGCAGUGGGGAAUUUUCCGCAAUGGGCGAAAGCCUGACGGAGCAAUACCGCGUGAGGGAAGAAUGCCUAUGGGUUGUAAACCUCUUUUUUCAGGGAGGAAUAAAAUGACGUGUACCUGAAGAAUAAGCAUCGGCUAACUCCGUG